ACCAAUACGACUCCAGUCACCUCAUCUAGUACAGUUGGCAAUGGGGACAAUGAUCAUCAAAUCUGGAUUGUACCUGAAGAGGAUGGGUUUGAUCCUCACAAAAUAGUAAUUGAAGGCAUUGCUAGUUGCAUUCGUAGUAAAUUUGAAUUUGCUAGACCCUCAUGGAAGAAGUUUCCAGAAUCUACUCAUGAUAUGUGGUUUGAGGAAUUCAAG